rnacentral:rRNA from 1 species
GACGAACGCUGGCGGCGUGCUUAACACAUGCAAGUCGAACGGAAAGGCCUGCUUUCCCUUGUGGAUUGCGGGUACUCGAGUGGCGAACGGGUGAGUAACACGUGAGUGAUCUGCCCCCAACUUGGGUAUAAGCCUGGGAAACUGGGUCUAAUUCCCGAUAGGACUGCAGGGUGGUGCCUGUGGUGGAAAACGAUUUUCUAGUGGUUGGGGAUGAGCUCGCGGCCUAUCAGCUGGUUGGUGGGGUAAUGGCCUACCAAGGCGGCGACGGGUAGCCGGCCUGGGGGGGUGGACGGCCACAUUGGGACUGAGAUACGGCCAAGACUCCUACGGGAGGCAGCAGUGGGGAAUAUUGCACAAUGGGCGGAAGCCUGAUGCAGCGACGCCGCGUGGGGGAUGACGGCCUUCGGGUUGUAAACUCCUUUCGACCGCGAGGAAGCCACCUGGUUGGAAGGGUGGUGACGGUAGUGGUAGAAGAAGCACCGGCUAACUACGUG